AUUGAACGCUGGCGGCAGGCCUAACACAUGCAAGUCGAACGAGUGGCGGACGGGUGAGUAAUGUCUGGGAAACUGCCUGAUGGAGGGGGAUAACUACUGGAAACGGUAGCUAAUACCGCAUACCAUCGGAUGUGCCCAGAGGGGAUUAGCUAGCAGGUGGGGUAACGGCUCACCUAGGCGACGAUCCCUAGCUGGUCUGAGAGGAUGACCAGCCACACUGGAUCUGAGACACGGUCCAGACGCCUACGGGAGGCAGCGGUGGGGAAUAUGGCACGAUGGGCGCAAGCCGGAUGCAGCCAUGCCGCGUGUAUGAAGAAGGCCUUAGGGUUGUAAAGUACUUGCAGCGGGGAGGCGUUACCCGCAGAAGAAGCGCCGGCUAACUCCGUGCCAGCAGCCGCGGUAAUAC
rnacentral:rRNA from 1 species